rnacentral:tRNA from 1 species
GCAGUGGUGGUUCACUGGUAGAAUUCUCGCCUUUCGUGUGGGAAACCCAGGUUCGAUUCCCAGCCAAUGCA